UGUAAUCCCAACAUUAAGAGGUGGAGGC
rnacentral:piRNA from 1 species